rnacentral:rRNA from 1 species
AUACGGAGGAUCCGAGCGUUAUCCGGAUUUAUUGGGUUUAAAGGGAGCGUAGAUGGGUUGUUGAGUCAGUUGUGAAAGUUUGCGGCUCAACCGUAAAAUUGCAAUUGAUACUGGCAGCCUUGAGUACAGUUGAGGUAGGCGGAAUUCGUGGCGUAGCGGUGAAAUGCUUAGAUAUCACGAAGAACUCCGAUUGCGAAGGCUGCCUACUAAACUGCCACUGACAUUGAUGCUCGAAAGUGUGGGUAUCAAACAGGAUUAGAUGCCCUGGUAGUCCACACGGUAAACGAUGAAUACUCGCUGUUUGCGAUAUACAGCAAGCGGCCAAGCGAAAGCGUUAAGUAUUCCGCCUGGGGAGUACGCCUGCAACGGUGAAACUCAAAGGAAUUGACGGG